rnacentral:ncRNA from 2 species
GAGAAUGCGAGGAUCAGGAGAGUAACGCUCGGUUUCUUCCCAGAGAGGGCGAGAGGGUGGAACCGCCUAAGGAACCUAUGCGUGAAAUGCACCUGGGAGCAGGAAGCUGAAAAGUCUCUUCUCCGUGAGAGAGCCUAAGUAAGCCGCCCCGUUACCCGCGUUAAGGGAUUAAGCGAUGCCUACGAUCGAUUUUUGGGCAUAAGCAGGGUGGAACCGCGGGAGUACCGUCUCUGGA